CCGGCUGAAUCGGGAGGUGAGGCCGCUGCAAUGUCACCUGAAUCGGGAGAUGAGGCCGCUGCAAUGUCACCUGAAUCGGGAGGUGAGGCCGCUGGAAUGUCACCUGAAUCGGGAGGUGAGGCCGCUGCAAUGUCACCUGAAUCGGGAGGUGAGGCCGCUGCAAUGUCACCUGAAUCGGGAGAUGAGGCCGCUGCAAUGCCGGCUGAAUCGGGAAAUGAGGCCGCUGCAAUGCUGGCUGAAUCGGGAGGUGAGGCCGCUGGAAUGCCGGCUGAAUCGGGAGGUGAGGCCGCUGCAAUGUCACCUGAAUCGGGAGGUGAGGCCGCUGCAAUGCCGGCUGAAUCAGCUGGGAACAUUCCUUCCCUGCAGGAGCCAGGGCAGAUCCCUCCUGGCCAGGCUGGGGGGCAGCUGCUGGGUCUGCUCUGGGGUAGAACCCCCUGCCCUGCCAGCAGCCCUGACUCUGCUUUCCCUCCCAGCUCCUGAGGGUGUCAGGGCCGCCGUGAGGGAGCUCAGGCCCAAAAACCCCACAGCCCACAGAGUGAACGAUCCCAACACAGAAAUGCGGUGUUGUGACAAAGAACCUGUUAAAAAGGCUGUGACAACACUGUAAUGGGAUUCCCAGGAACCUUCUGGUUUGCUCCUGGGUCUGUUUUUAUGUAUUUUUAGUCCCUCAAUGGGCAGUUUGUAGUGUUUAUUCUGGGACUCCGGGGUUGAGCAGGGCUGGCUUUGGAUUGGCCUUCACCUCUGCUCCCCCUUGGGCCGAGCUGGGCAGACUCAUCCCCUCAGCUCUUCCCUCCAAAACAUCCCUGACUCAUUUGCCUGCAGGUGAACCCGGGUUUGGCCCCAAGCUGUCCCCUCCUCACCUGCCCUUGCCCUCACGGUGUCCCUUCUGUUCCCCACAGUGCCCUGGUGACACCAGGGAGGUCCCUCUGCCUUUCUCCUGCCCCUCUCCAGGCCCGGCCGCUCCUCUGCUCGCUCUCUCUGCCCUUGUCCCACACAGUGGGGCACAAAAGGGGAAAGGGUUCAUUAAUUUAAUUAAUUCUGCAAUUAAUUAAUUAUUUCCAACUCCCUAGUGAGAAGAACAUGAACUCACAGCCACGGAGUCCUGACAGGUUCCUGCAGUGAGAGCUCAGCGCGCGUCCACAGAGAGUGAGAGGGGAGAUGUGGGAAUUGGAAAACCAGAAACUUCCAGAGCCACCCAAAGAUUGGAUCUGCAGCCUGGGAAGAAGCUUGGAUUGAUGUAGAAAUACAACACACAGGCAUUAACAGGAAAAUAAUACAUAAAGCAGGUAGAGCUGUGAUGCUUUCUAAUUAAUGGCCAAUCACACUCAGCUGGCUCACACUCUCUGUGCCAGCCACAAGCCUUUGUUAUUCAUUCCUUCCUUUUCUACUCUUAGCUGGCCUGCUGAUGAGAUCCUUUCUUCUAUUCUUUCAGUAUAGUUUAAUGUGACACAUACCAUAAAAUAAUAAAUCAGCCCUGUGACCCAUG